UGGGGAAUUGUUCACAAUGGGCGCAAGCCUGAUGACGCAACGCCGCGUGGGGGAUGAAGGUCUUCGGAUCGUAAACCCUUGUCGAACGGGACGAAAGACCCGGGAGCUAAUCAUCCUGGGAGUGACGGUACCGUUAAAGGAAGCCACGGCUAACUCUGUGCCAGCAGCCGCGGUAAUACAGAGGUGGCAAGCGUUGUUCGGAAUUACUGGGCGUAAAGGGCGCGUAGGCAGCCAUCUAAGUCAGACGUGAAAUCCCCCGGCUUAACCUGGGAACUGCGUCUGAUACUGGAAGGCUCGAGUUUGGGAGAGGGAUGUGGAAUUCCAGGUGUAGCGGUGAAAUGCGUAGAUAUCUGGAGGAACACCGGGUGGCGAAGGCGGCAUCCUGGACCAACACUGACGCUGAGGCGCGAAAGCUAAGGGGAGCAAACGGGAUUAGAUACCCCGGUAGUCCUAGCCCUAAACGAUAGAAUGCUUGGUGUGGCGGGUAUCGAUCCCUGCCGCGCCGAAGCUAACG
rnacentral:rRNA from 1 species